CCUACGGGUGGCAGCAGUGAGGAAUAUUGGUCAAUGGGCGAGAGCCUGAACCAGCCAAGUAGCGUGAAGGAUGACUGCCCUACGGGUUGUAAACUUCUUUUAUAAAGGAAUAAAGUGCGGUACGUGUGCAGUUUUGUAUGUACCAUAUGAAUAAGGAUCGGCUAACUCCGUGCCAGCAGCCGCGGUAAUACGGAGGAUCCGAGCGUUAUCCGGAUUUAUUGGGUUUAAAGGGAGCGUAGAAGGAAGGGUAAGUCAGUUGUGAAAGUUUGCGGCUCAACCGUAAAAUUGCAAUUGAUACUGGCAGGCUUGAGUGCAGUAGAGGUAGGCGGAAUUCGUGGUGUAGCGGUGAAAUGCUUAGAUAUCACGAAGAACUCCGAUUGCGAAGGCAGCUUACUGGACUGUAACUGACAUUGAUGCUCGAAAGUGUGGGUAUCAAACAGGAUUAGAUACCCCUGUAGUC
rnacentral:rRNA from 1 species